CCCUUAGAUGUUCUGGGCUGCACGCGCGCUACACUGAUGCGCUCAACGAGUUUACGAACUUGCCCGGAAGGGUUGGUUAAUCUUUUUAAAACGCAUCGUGAUGGGGAUAGAUUAUUGCAAUUAUUAAUCUUCAACGAGGAAUUCCUAGUAAGCGCGAGUCAUCAGCUCGCACUGAUUACGUCCCUGCCCUUUGUACACACCGCCCGUCGCACCUACCGAUUGAAUGUUUCGGUGAAGAUUCCGGAUAGGACUUUUUUGAUUUAUUUCAAUUUUGUCUUAAAAGCUAUCUAAACCUCAACAUUUAGAGGAAGGUGAAGUCGUAACA
rnacentral:rRNA from 1 species